GCAGGUGUGUCUGUGAUUGUAGGUUGUCCCAGGGAGCUGAUUGGCUGCUGCCUUGGCAGUUUAAAGGCCGGCUUCCUUCAGUUCCUGGGGGCUCUCCUCUGCUGUCCAAGAUGACCAGCAUUUGUGUGAUUGUGGACAAAAUAUGUUUCUUCGUGAUGGCCGUGGACUGGAUUGGUUUCGGCUAUGCUGCAGCCAUCGCCCUUGGAGGAUUUAUGGGAUACAAGAGACACAAUUCAUGACUUCAUGAAUUCAUUUGGUUCAGAAAGCCCAACCAAAGUGAAUUCACUACCAUGUGAAUCAUGAUAAUGUGUCUCUGUUUUCUUGUAGGAAGUGUGAUGUCCCUGAUGGCUGGUUUGGUUUUCGGCAGGUUAUCCCCUUACGGGGCAUACAACAUCUCCAAUGACUCAAAGGACAUCAAAAUCUCAAUGUUUUGUUGAUGGUGUUUCGGCCGUUGCUGCUCAUCAUGGUGUGACUGGAGGAGUAGCACUGACCGCAGCUUUCUGUUCCUCAGUGCACAACCCUGAUUCCAGUGAAAGAGUCACUUCCUGCACACACUUUUCACCUCUGCAUUGAUACAUUUACUUAAAGGUCAGCAUUCUGGUCACAAGGAGCUCUCUCUAGACACAACGCUCACACAGUGACAGGGUUUAAAUACAGCCUGUGUUGCCUUUGAAAGUCCAAAUUAAGGCUGAGAAAUAAACAAGACAAAACAAAAAAAAACACCAGCUUCUCAAAUGUUUGUUAAAAAUAGACACUUUAUUUAGUAGAAGCUUCCAUUAAAGUAUCCAUUUAAUGACAUAAAAGAUCACAGAUUCCUGUCAUACUAAAA